UACGUAGGUGGCAAGCGUUGUCCGGAUUUAUUGGGCGUAAAGCGAGCGCAGGCGGUCUUUUAAGUCUGAUGUGAAAGCCCCCGGCUUAACCGGGGAGGGUCAUUGGAAACUGGGAGACUUGAGUGCAGAAGAGGAAAGCGGAAUUCCAUGUGUAGCGGUGAAAUGCGUAGAUAUAUGGAGGAACACCAGUGGCGAAGGCGGCUUUCUGGUCUGUAACUGACGCUGAGGCUCGAAAGCGUGGGGAGCAAACAGGAUUAGAUACCCUGGUAGUCCACGCCGUAAGCAAUGGGUGCUAAGUGUUGGAGGGUGUCCGCCCGUCAGUGCUGCAGCGAAAGCAUUAAGCACUCCGCCUGGGGAGUACGACCGCAAGGUUGAA
rnacentral:rRNA from 1 species